rnacentral:rRNA from 1 species
GACGAACGCUGGCGGCGUGCUUAACACUUGCAAGUCGAACGGAAAGGCCCUGCUUUUGUGGUGUGCUCGAGUGGCGAACGGGUGAGUAACACGUGAGUAACCUGCCCUUGACUUUGGGAUAACUUCAGGAAACUGGGGCUAAUACCGGAUAGGAGCUCCUGCUGCAUGGUGGGGGUUGGAAAGUUUCGGCGGUUGGGGAUGGACUCGCGGCUUAUCAGCUUGUUGGUGGGGUAGUGGCUUACCAAGGCUUUGACGGGUAGCCGGCCUGAGAGGGUGACCGGCCACAUUGGGACUGAGAUACGGAGCAGACUCCUACGGGAGGCAGCAGUGGGGAAUAUUGCACAAUGGGCGGAAGCCUGAUGCAGCAACGCCGCGUGCGGGAUGACGGCCUUCGGGUUGUAAACCGCUUUCGCCUGUGACGAAGCGUGAGUGACGGUAAUGGGUAAAGAAGCACCGGCUAACUACGUG